UACGUAGGGUGCAAGCGUUGUCCGGAAUUAUUGGGCGUAAAGAGCUCGUAGGCGGUCUGUCGCGUCUGCUGUGAAAACUCAGGGCUUAACCCUGAGCUUGCAGUGGGUACGGGCAGACUAGAGUGCGGUAGGGGAGACUGGAAUUCCUGGUGUAGCGGUGAAAUGCGCAGAUAUCAGGAGGAACACCGGUGGCGAAGGCGGGUCUCUGGGCCGUAACUGACGCUGGAGGAGCGAAAGCAUGGGGAGCAAACAGG
rnacentral:rRNA from 1 species